rnacentral:rRNA from 1 species
AGUGAACGCUGGCGGUAGGCCUAACGCAUGCAAGUCGAACGGCAGCACAGUAAGAGCUUGCUCUUACGGGUGGCGAGUGGCGGACGGGGGAGGAAUACAUCGGAAUCUAUUUUUUCGUGGGGGAUAACGUAGGGAAACUUACGCUAAUACCGCAUACGACCUCCGGGUGAAAGCAGGGGAUCUUCGGACCUUGCGCGAUUGAAUGAGCCGAUGUCGGCUUAGCUAGUUGGCGGGGUAAAGGCCGACCAAGGCGAGGAUCCGUAGCUGGUCUGAGAGGAUGAUCAGCCACACUGGAACUGGGACACGGUCCAGACUCCUACGGGAGGCAGCAGUGGGGAAUAUUGGACAAUGGGCGCAAGCCUGAUCCAGCCAUACCGGGUGGGUGAAGAAGGCCUUCGGGUUGUAAAGCCCUUUUGUUUGGAAAGAAAAGCAGCAGGUUAAUACCCCGCUGUUCUGACGGUACCCAAAGAAUAAGCACCGGCUAACUUCGUG